rnacentral:rRNA from 1 species
CACGUAGGCGGUUUUAUAAGUCAGCGGUGAAAUUCCAGGGCUCAACCUUGGGACUGCCAUUGAUACUGUGAGACUAGAGUGUAUGAGAGGAUGAUGGAAUAUCCAGUGUAGAGGUGAAAUUCGUAGAUAUUGGAUAGAACACCAGUGGCGAAGGCGAUUAUCUGGCAUACAACUGACGCUGAGGUGCGAAAGCGUGGGUAGCAAACAGGAUUAGAUACCCUGGUAGUCCACGCUGUAAACGAUGAGUGCUAGAUAUAUGGGGCGAUAAGCUUUUUGUGUCGUAGUUAACGCGUUAAGCACUCCGCCUGGGGAGUACGGUCGCAAGAUUAAA